GGACGAACGCUGGCGGCGUGCCUAACACAUGCAAGUCGAACGGGGUAUUUCUUCGGAGAUACUUAGUGGCGAACGGGUGAGUAACGCGUGAGAAACCUGCCUUUCAGUGGGGGACAACAGUUGGAAACGACUGCUAAUACCGCAUGACACUGUAGCACCGCAUGGUGCAUCAGUCAAAGCUUUAUGUGCUGAAAGAUGGUCUCGCGUCUGAUUAGCUAGUUGGUGGGGUAACGGCCCACCAAGGCGACGAUCAGUAGCCGGUCUGAGAGGAUGAACGGCCACAUUGGGACUGAGAUACGGCCCAGACUCCUACGGGAGGCAGCAGUCGGGAAUAUUGCGCAAUGGAGGAAACUCUGACGCAGUGACGCCGCGUGCAGGAAGAAGGUUUUCGGAUUGUAAACUGCUUUAGACAGGGAAGAAACAAGACAGUACCUGUAGAAUAAGCUCCGGCUAACUACGUG
rnacentral:rRNA from 1 species